GAUGUGCUUUCUAAAGAAGCUACAAAAAGGAAAAUUAACCUCAACAUAUCAUACGAGAUAAAUGAAGUAUCAGUCAAACACACUUUAAAGCUAAUCCACCCAAAGCUGGAGUACCAGUUGCUUUUGGCUAAGAAAGUGCAGUUAAUUGAUGCUUUAAAAGAAUUACAGAUUCAUGAGGGAAAUACGAACUUUCUGAUACCAGAAUAUCACUGUAUUCUAGAAGAGGCAGAUCACCUACAGGAAGAAUACAAAAAGCAACCUGCACAUCUUGAAAGACUCUAUGGCAUGAUCACUGAUCUUUUCAUAGAUAAAUUUAAGUUUAAAGGCACCAAUGUAAAAACUAAAGUACCCCUUCUAUUGGAAAUUCUGGACAGUUAUGACCAAAAUGCAUUGAUUUCAUUCUUCGAUGCAGCAUGACAUACAAAUAAGUGUUUUAUGACUCUGCUGCAGUUUGUGGAAAUGCUGGACUUGGCUCAGUGCUAUAAAUUGUAGCCAGGAAAUAAGAAGAGCUUACACAGAGUCGGGGGAUCUUAAUUAGACAUGCUGUAACCAGUGGAGCUAUUCAGCGUGCUUCAAGUGAAGAGUGCAGAAAUAGUGAUGCCAUCUUAGAUUUUCCUACACUAGUAUCUUCUAGAUCUCUUUUUAUCAUAUAUGACAUUAAGGCUACAGAAGUUUUGUGCAUUAAUCUUAAUUCAUAUUUAUUAAUUUCAAGGGAAUAUUGAAAGGUUUUAAAA
rnacentral:lncRNA from 10 species